rnacentral:rRNA from 1 species
CCUACGGGGGGCUGCAGUGGGGAAUUUUGGACAAUGGGCGCAAGCCUGAUCCAGCCAUUCCGCGUGAGUGAAGAAGGCCUUCGGGUUGUAAAGCUCUUUCGGCCGGGAAGAAAUCGCACGGGUUAAUACCCUGUGUGGAUGACGGUACUGGAAGAAGAAGCACCGGCUAACUACGUGCCAGCAGCCGCGGUAAUACGUAGGGUGCGAGCGUUAAUCGGAAUUAGUGGGCGUAGAGCGUGCGCACGCGGUUGAAGUCCCCGGGCUUAACCUGGUAACUGCGGUUGUGACUGAAAGACUUGAGUGCGGCAGAGGGGGGUGGAAUUCCACGUGUAGCAGUGAAAUGCGUAGAGAUGUGGAGGAACACCGAUGGCGAAGGCAGCCCCCUGGGUCGACACUGACGCUCAUGCACGAAAGCGUGGGGAGCAAACAGGAUUAGAUACCCUAGUAGUC